GAUGAACGCUGGCGGCGUGCCUAAUACAUGCAAGUCGAGCGACCAGACGAGGAGCUUGCUCCUCUGAUGUUAGCGGCGGACGGGUGAGUAACACGUGGAUAACCUACCUAUAAGACUGGGAUAACUUCGGGAAACCGGAGCUAAUACCGGAUAACAUGUUGAACCGCAUGGUUCAACAGUGAAAGACGGUCUUGCUGUCACUUAUAGAUGGAUCCGCGCCGCAUUAGCUAGUUGGUAAGGUAACGGCUUACCAAGGCAACGAUGCGUAGCCGACCUGAGAGGGUGAUCGGCCACACUGGAACUGAGACACGGUCCAGACUCCUACGGGAGGCAGCAGUAGGGAAUCUUCCGCAAUGGGCGAAAGCCUGACGGAGCAACGCCGCGUGAGUGAAGAAGGUCUUCGGAUCGUAAAACUCUGUUAUUAGGGAAGAACAAAUGUGUAAGUAACUAUGCACGUCUUGACGGUACCUAAUCAGAAAGCCACGGCUAACUACGUG
rnacentral:rRNA from 1 species